rnacentral:rRNA from 1 species
UACGUAGGGUGCAAGCGUUGUCCGGAAUUAUUGGGCGUAAAGAGCUCGUAGGCGGUUUGUCGCGUCGGCUGUGAAAACCUGGGGCUCAACCCCGGGCCUGCAGCCGAUACGGGCAAACUAGAAUUCGGUAGGGGAGACUGGAAUUCCUGGUGUAGCGGUGAAAUGCGCAGAUAUCAGGAGGAACACCGGUGGCGAAGGCGGCAUCCUGGACCAACACUGACACUGAGGAGCGAAAGCCAGGGGAGCAAACGGG